rnacentral:rRNA from 1 species
GCUUACGGCCACACCGCCCUGGUUCACGCCCGAUCUCGUUUGAUCUCGGAAGCUAAGAUAGGUUGGGCCUGGUUAGUACUUGGAUGGGAGACCGCCUGGGAAUACCAGGUGCUGUAAACU